rnacentral:rRNA from 1 species
GAUGAACGCUGGCGGCGUGCCUAAUACAUGCAAGUCGAGCGAACGGACGCGAAGCUUGCUUCUCUGAUGUUAGCGGCGGACGGGUGAGUAACACGUGGAUAACCUACCUAUAAUACUGGGAUAACUUCGGGAAACCGUAGCUAAUACCGGAUAAUAUUUUGAACCGCAUGGUUCAAAAGUGAAAGACGGUCUUGCUGUCACUUAUAGAUGGAUCCGCGCUGCAUUAGCUAGUUGGUAAGGUAACGGCUUACCAAGGCAACGAUGCAUAGCCGACCUGAGAGGGUGAUCGGCCACACUGGAACUGAGACACGGUCCAGACUCCUACGGGAGGCAGCAGUAGGGAAUCGUCCGCAAUGGUCGAAAGCCUGACGGAGCAACGCCGCGUGAGUGAUGAAGGUCUUCGGAUCGUAAAACUCUGUUAUUAGUGAAGAACAUAUGUGUAAGUAACUGUGCACAUCUUGACGGUACCUAAUCAGAAAGCCACGGCUAACUACGUG